AUUGAACGCUGGCGGCAGGCCUAACACAUGCAAGUCGAGCGGAGCGGCGGACGGGUGCGUAAUGCCUAGGAAUCUGCCGGGUAGUGGGGGAUAACGUCCGGAAACGGGCGCUAAUACCGCAUACUAUCAGAUGAGCCUAGGUCGGAUUAGCUAGUUGGUGGGGUAAAGGCCUACCAAGGCGACGAUCCGUAACUGGUCUGAGAGGGAUGUCCGUCACACUGGAACUGAGACACGGUCCAGCCUCCUCCCUUCCCCCUCCUUUCCUCCUUUUGUGCCAUGUGCGAAAGCCUGCUCCAGCCAUGCCGCGUGUGUGCAUACUGUCUUCGGUUUUUCCGGCACUUUAAGUUGGGAGGCGUUACCAACAGAAUAAGCACCGGCUAACUUCGUGCCAGCAGCCGCGGUAAUUC
rnacentral:rRNA from 1 species